UACAGAGGCCCCAAGCGUUACUGAGAAUCACUGGGUUUAAAGGGUGCGUAGGUGGUCCGUUAAGUUCGUUGUGAAAUCCCUGGGCUCAACCCAGGAAAUGCUUCGAAUACUGGCGGACUUGAGGCUAGUAGGGGUCACUGGAACUGACGGUGGAGCGGUGAAAUGCGUAGAUAUCGUAAGGAAGACCAGUGGCGAAGGCGGGUCUCUGGACAGUUCCUGACGCUGAGGCACGAAGGCCAGGGGAGCAAACGGG
rnacentral:rRNA from 1 species